UACGUAGGGUGCGAGCGUUGUCCGGAAUUACUGGGCGUAAAGAGCUCGUAGGUGGUUUGUCGCGUUGUUCGUGAAAACCCGAGGCUUAACCUCGGGCCUGCAUUCGAUACGGGCUGACUAGAGUUCGGUAGGGGAGACUGGAAUUCCAGGUGUAGCGGUGAAAUGCGUAGAUAUCUGGAGGAACACCGGUGGCGAAGGCGGCAUCCUGGACCGACACUGACGCUGAGGAGCGAAAGCCAGGGGAGCAAACGGG
rnacentral:rRNA from 1 species